CACCAUUAACCCAUUCUGUGCCAGCUCUUCCAUUAACCUAUUCUGUGCCAGUCACUGAUAGAUCACCCAUUAAGCCAUUCUGUGCCAGUCACCGAUAGAUCCCCAUUAACCCAUUCUGUGCCAGUCACCGAUAGAUCCCCAUUAACCCAUUCUGUGCCAGUCACCGAUAGAUCCCCAUUAACCCAUUCUGUGCCAGUCACCGAUAGAUCCCCAUUAACCCAUUCUGUGCCAGUCGCCGAUAGAUCCCCAUUAAUCAUUCUGUGCCAGUCACGAUAGAUCCCCAUUAACCCAUUCUGUGCCAGUCACCGAUAGAUCCCCCAUUAACCCAUUCUGUGCCAGUCACCGAUAGAUCCCCAUUAACCCAUUCUGUGCCAGUCACCGAUAGAUCCCCAUUAACCCAUUCUGUGCCAGUCACCGAUAGAUCCCCAUUAACCCAUUCUGUGCCAGUCACCGAUAGAUCCCCAUUAACCCAUUCUGUGCCAGUCACCGAUAGAUCCCCAUUAACCCAUUCUGUGCCAGUCGCCGAUAGAUCUCCCAUUAACCCAUUAUGUGCCAGUCGCCGAUAGAUCCCCAUUAACCCAUUCUGUGCCAGUCGCCGAUAGAUCCCC